GCACACAUAGCUCAGCUAGCAGAACAUGAGACUCUUUAAUCUCAGGGUUGUGGGUUCGAGCCCCAAGUUAGGCA